rnacentral:rRNA from 1 species
UACCAGACUCCUACGGGAGGCAGCAGUGGGGGAUAUUGCACAAUGGGGGAAGCCCUGAUGCAGCGACACCGCGUGGGUGAGGAAGCGCUUCGGCGUGUAAAGCCCUAUCAGUGGGGAAGAAAAUGACGGUACCCAAAGAGGAAGCUCCGGCUAACUACGUGCCAGCAGCCGCGGUAAUACGUAGGGAGCGAGCGUUGUCCGGAAUUACUGGGUGUAAAGGGAGCGUAGGCGGGCGAGAAAGUUGAAUGUUAAAUCUACCGGCUUAACUGGUAGCUGCGUUCAAAACUUCUUGUCUUGAGUGAAGUAGAGGCAGGCGGAAUUCCUAGUGUAGCGGUGAAAUGCGUAGAUAUUAGGAGGAACACCAGUGGCGAAGGCGGCCUGCUGGGCUUUAACUGACGCUGAGGCUCGAAAGCGUGGGGAGCAAACAGGAUUAGAUACCCCCGUA